GAUGAACGCUGGCGGCGUGCCUAAUACAUGCAAGUCGAGCGAACGGACGAGAAGCUUGCUUCUCUGAUGUUAGCGGCGGACGGGUGAGUAACACGUGGAUAACCUACCUAUAAGACUGGGAUAACUUCGGGAAACCGGAGCUAAUACCGGAUAAUAUUUUGAACCGCAUGGUUCAAAAGUAAAAGACGGUCUUGCUGUCACUUAUAGAUGGAUCCGCGCUGCAUUAGCUAGUUGGUAAGGUAACGGCUUACCAAGGCAACGAUGCAUAGCCGACCUGAGAGGGUGAUCGGCCACACUGGAACAGAGACACGGUCCAGACUACUACGGGAGGCAGCAGUAGGGAAUCUUCCGCAAUGGGCGAAAGCCUGACGGAGCAACGCCGCGUGAGUGAUGAAGGUCUUCGGAUCGUAAAACUCUGUUAUUAGGGAAGAACAUAUAUGUAAGUAACUGUGAACAUCUUGACGGUACCUAAUCAGAAAGCCACGGCUAACUACGUG
rnacentral:rRNA from 1 species